ACUUUACUGCACACAACACCACAGCGUUAAACAGCAGAACAAACUCAGGAUGCAAAAAAACAUACUAUGGAAGUCAAUCAAUGGCUAGAAAAUAUUUCUAUAUUUUAUUUUAUGUUCAACAGAAAAAGAAACCCUAAGAAACAACCUGGGGGUGUCCGGAGUAGGAAAGAUCCGAACAAAUCCGCCUCUCCUGUCAUAUUCCUCCUGUACCCUCCGCAGGACUUUCAUCUGUCCAGGGGAGACAUCAGAUCAUGCUGUUCAAUAUCAAAUAUGUAAGGAGCAGCCAAGAAGAGAGCAGAUAUCUGCACGAUUUGGGCUGAGGGAGAUGCUGACCUCUUCUGCUGUCAGGCCCAGUGUGCUCUCCGCUUGCUUCGCGCCGUGUUUCUCUCUCUGAGCUUCUGGCUCGGCACUGUUGGAGGACGGUGGUCUCUGGCGCUGGGCAUCAGAGGGAAUCAUAACAGAAAUAUUACACAUCAUCACUAUUACUACUACUAAAGCGGGUCUAACUACUAGCGCAGGUUGAAUUUUACAAUGUACACUUUUCAAUUGUAGUCUUUUAAAAGGGCAUCUGAAAUAACAAACUAAGUUCAAUCUAGUGUUUAGACUUUGACACAUAUCGAUACUGGAUUAUCUGAAACUCACUACCAGAUGCGCGUUCUCUCUCUCAUCUCUGACAGCGAGAUACACACUGCAAACACACAUCCCUUUACUCACUCGUUUCAUUUGCUCCGGAUGAACAUUGAUGGUGUCAUAGGGCUUGAAUUUCGCCGUGACAAAGAUUAAUAAGAUUAACUUUGCUUUCACAUGCUGUUUGAAAGAGAUGUAAUUAUUAACCCUCAGGUGCUCU